GACGAACGCUGGCGGCGUGCUUAACACAUGCAAGUCGAACGGUAAGGCCCUUCGGGGUACACGAGUGGCGAACGGGUGAGUAACACGUGGGUGAUCUGCCCUGCACUUCGGGAUAAGCCUGGGAAACUGGGUCUAAUACCGGAUAGGACCACUGCCUGCAUGGGUGGUGGUGGAAAGCUUUUGCGGUGUGGGAUGGGCCCGCGGCCUAUCAGCGUGUUGGUGGGGUGAUGGCCGACCAGGGCGACGACGGGUAGCCGGCCUGGGCGGGUGACCGGCCACACUGGGACUGGGGUACGGCCCAGACUGCUACGGGAGGCAGCAGUGGGGAAUGUUGCACAAUGGGCGCAAGCCUGAUGCAGCGACGCCGCGUGAGGGAUGACGGCCUUCGGGUUGUAAACCUCUUGCAGCACCGACGAAGCGGAAGGGACGGUAGGUGCAGAAGAAGGACCGGCCAACUACGUGCCAGCCGCCGCGGUAA
rnacentral:rRNA from 1 species